AACGCACCACCGAGAAACGCACAACUCCUGUUAAAGAUGGCUCCGCUCUCCGUGUUCCGAGUGGCUCUUCUGGUGUCGUGUUCAGUGUUUCUGACUGUUUUGUUGGGUUUUGGACUGCCUGCUCUGCUGAACGUGUUGAUGAGGAUGUUGGGGAUACCGGAGACGAGUGUAACCGAGUGCAUUGUUGUGCUGUAUUUACUUUUCGUGCUGUACGUGGCGACGCCUCGAAUUCCAAGAGGAUUGGUGCAGGUGGAGGGGAAAGCUGUGUUUAUUACAGGUUGUGACAGUGGAUUUGGUCAUGCACUUGCCAAACAUCUACACAAGCUUGGCUUCACGGUCUUUGCUGGAUGUCUUUUUAAGGAUAAAGGUGGAGAGGGUGCAAAGGAACUGGAAGAAUUUCAGUCAGAUCGCAUGAAGGUAGUCCAGCUGGAUGUCUGCAGUGAAGAGCAAGUGAACCAGGCUGCGGAAUACAUCAAAGAAAACCUGGAGGACUCAGAAAGAGGUCUGUGGGCUGUGGUGAACAACGCUGGUGUGUCAGCGUUCGGAGAAGUAGAGUUCACCUCCGUGGACACCUACAAGCAGGUAUCAGAGGUCAACCUGUGGGGCACCAUCAGGGUCACCAAGGCUCUUCUGCCGUUAAUCCGCAGGGCCAAAGGCCGUGUCGUGAACCUGGCCAGCAUGUACGGGAGGAUGGGAAAUGCCUUGCGGUCCCCUUACUGCGUAUCUAAAUACGGUGUGGAGGCUUUUUCUGAUUGCCUUCGCUAUGAGAUGAAGACCUGGGGCGUCAAAGUGUCCAUAGUGGAACCGGGGAACUUCAUCGUGGCCACCGGCAUCCUGACCCGAGAGAUUGUGACCACCACGGCCAAUAAGCUGUGGAGUGAGGCACCAUCCCAAGUGAAGGAGGAUUAUGGGAAAGCCCACUUCGAGAAGCACAUGGCUCUGAUGCGCUCUUACUGCAACAGCGGACAGAAGGAUGUAGCCCCCGUUCUGGAUGACAUCACUGACGCCAUCAUGUCCAAGCGUCCCUACACGCGGUACAACCCCAUGGAGCCACACUGGUGGAUCAGAGUUCAGCUGAUGACACAUCUGCCUGGAGCCAUAUCUGACUUGUUGUACUUCUAGAAGAGGAGCUGUUCCUGUUUCUCUGUUUCAUAUAGCAGAAUAUUAUUCAACUAUUUAGCGGUACACAGAUCUACUCUGAAGAGGGCUCUCUGGGCCUGUUCAGACCUGGCAUUAACAUGCGUCCUGAGUGAUCGACAGCUUUAAAUACGCCUGUUCACACCUGGCAUUAGAAUGCGUCUCCACAUGCGUCUCGAGUGACCACCACCGACCUCGCUUCCCCGCUCUAUAUGCAAAUAAACACGUAAGCACUUGCUUUGAUCUUUAAUAUCGGAUGGCUGUGUGUCUGGCCUCUCCGGUCGAGCUUCUGCUGUGGUGCCGCAGGUUUCCACCUGGCGCUCCUCCGCCUCCCCCCCGGCUGUGAACGGAGCUACUAAGGCAGACAUUGUGACGGAAUAUUACAUGAAUAUCAGUAGUAAUAUCUUACAUAUUCGGGAAUUUGGGUACAUUUUAUUAACAUCAAAAUACAAGGUUAUUGUACCAGUGGUACCUGGGGACCUCCGUGCCACCGGCACCUCUGCCAGGCAACAGCGGGGUACAGAGCUUCUAAUAGCAGGGGAUGCAAGCGAGUGGGCGGGCGUCAGCUCUGUGCAAAGCACCGGAACAAAAACAUCGACACAUCUCCGACAGUAUGAUAAAAAUGCACUUCCCGUGCCUAUUCUGAUAGUCUGUAGAUUAUGUAGCCUAUAGAUCUCAAUGUGUCCGGAGUGCGUUCACACCUGUAUUUAGAGCUGACCUUGUGAUCCGAUCUCUCAAGACACAUGUUAAUACCAGGACUGAACUGACUCUGUUACGUAUUCCUCAGCAUUUAAAUCAUUCACCGAUCAAGCCUUAAAAUGUAAUGAUUUUUUUAAACUGUAUGAUGAUUAUUGCACUUUGCUUAACUUUAUAUACACACAUGUAUUCCAUGAUAAAGAGUAACUACGUUGCGUCGGGUACCAGUGAGGCUAUGACAUACUUCUCGCUAUAAAUACUACAUCGUUAUUUCUUGAUCUUAAAACAAAAAGAAAAAGAUUGUGUUUGUCCCCUUAUAUAUAUAUUUGUCCCUGAUAAUUGUAAUGUUUUGCCUUAUGGGAAUCUGCUGGGUCACUAAAGCUGCUAGAGCUCAACAGAAGGCUCCUGCUGUUCUGUUGUGGCUGACGCCGGAACAAACCAAGGUCGGCUGCUGUAAGGCCGUGGUGAGAUUUGGCUCGACUCGCCCCCCCAAAAGUUACGUAACAACAACACAAGCCCACUUUGUCUCACAUGCGGCGCGAGAUCCUGUAUGCUACUUCGACAGCGCGGGUUGAUUGAUGCGAUUAUUGUCCGCGCUCGAAUGAAAAACGCUGCCCCCCGCACCUCCCUUCCCCUCCUUAAUAGAAAAGUAUCUGAAUAUAGAAUGAUGUGAAUGAAAAUUUUGAUUUUAUUUUGAAAAUAUUACAAUCACAGUAUCAUUUUUUCAAGAGUGAUUUGAAAUAAAGGAAUCAAAAUGUUAUGUUGAAGGUCUCAUUUGAGAUGUGUAGUAAAUGUAAUGAUACAGACGGCCACCAAGUGGCGUAGAUGCAUCAUACAAAACCACCACUAAUAUGCCUCAUGCAUGAAUCAUCUGCUGACUGUCUUAUAAUGUUAAUGACCCAAUUUAAGCUGCAUUAUAAUAGCAAAGCUGAAGCACAGAGAAGAACAAAUAUACCUAGUUUUCUUAUGGUUCUAUAAAACAUUUUGUGAAAUGCUUUUUGUAAUCCAGUAAAAAAAAAAACUGCUUUAACACUCAAUGAAAGUGGAACAUUUAACAAUUCAUUCGGAGAGUAUUCAAACAUUUGCGACAGAUAAAAACAAGACAUCGUGUCAUUUUUUAUGCCGUUUAUUACGUCUUUUGAACACUCUAAUAAACUCUUCUAAAUUAUUACACCUGAAGACGAUCUCCCCUCCAUAAAAACAGUAUUAAGAGCAUGACAUUAAAUUUCACAGCACUGCCUUUUAUCAUUCCACAGCAUGGAUCUGUUUUUCUUCACUCUCUCUCUCUCAUACAGAAAAAAAGCUUUGUGAGACAAAGAACACCGAGAAGCAGCACAAAAAGCACCAAAGUUGAACACGCGGUCAUUUGCUCGGAAUAUUAUCAAGAAAUCAAAUCCGGAGAUUCAAGAUUAUCUCAGGCUCGUUUAGCAGUCGAGAUAAAAACAAAAGAGUUUUUUGCGGCCGCGCUGUAGUUUCUUGAUCG